AGAUUCCAUUCCUGAAGAUUGCUCUAAUUGCUUUCAGCAACUUAUCAACCGUGAAUCCUUUUGGAUUUUAGGGGUUAAAACGUUAAAUCCUGAGGGACUGAAUAAGAGGACUGAGAGAACUUUUAGUAUAAACUGGCAUUGUAUUUGAUGUUGCACGCCUGAUGAAAAGGCCAUCCCCACCAACUUCCAGGAUGUUCAAGCGGAUCAUGUGCCUUUUUGGGAGUACCUAUCUGUGUGAAAAGCUCUUCUUCACCAUGAACUUUAAUAAGUCAUAGUUCAGGGCCCAACUUACUGAUGAGUUCUUCAAGCCAUAUUGAGGGUCUCAGUUGCUUCCUCACUCAAGUUAAAUGUUGCUGAGAUGUGUAGGAGGAAGCACUGCCAGGUCUCUGGCAACAAGAAGUAGGCGCUUGGUCUGUCCAUUGUAGAAGAUAGAAGGCUUGUUGGAAAACACGGUGGGUGAGGAAGGAUUAAAGCGCUGUCCCGGAUCCAAGGUUUUAUCCUUAAGACAGCAAGCAAAUCCCAAGUUACAAUAUUAAAGUGUCAAGAAGAUACACAGCCGG